UGUGGUAUAUCUAAUUAGAAUCAUAUCUUUCUCAAUUUUGUUAUAAUUCUAUCUCUUUCAUAUCUAUUUCUUUUCGUUACUUAUCUAUUACAGAUUCUGAAAAAUUAAUUAUGGUUGAUGCGCCCCCCCCCUCUUUUAAUUAUAUUUGUUUUUUGUUGAUUCCAGCUUAUUCAAUAUUUCAUUUUGCUUUUUUUUUUUGCAUUCUUUUAUGCAAUUAUGUAUGUCUUGUUUUUACGAAUCUCACGUCGUUUUUUUUCCCUUUUCUUUUCUUCAUCAUGAAUUUUGUCUUCAAUAUGUUAUUUUGCUUUUUCUUUUUUUCUUUUUCCAAUCAUUUUCUUCACCACGAAUCUCACAUAGCUAAAUUGUUAUGCAUAAUGACUUUGAAAUAUGAUUUUGCUCACCGAAUACAAUAUACAUCUGUAAUGAACAAAGUCAUUAUUUCAAUGAAUAAGGUAUGAAACAAUUCAUUUCGAGUUCAAUUCUAA
rnacentral:lncRNA from 1 species